CAACCCGGCACAUCCCGGCCAUGGCCUCGAGCUCCCUCCCGCUCCUCGCCCUCCUGGCCCUGCUGGCCCUGCCAGGGCUCCGGGCGGCCGUGACCCUGCUGGAGUCCGGGGGGGACCUCCAGCCCCCCGGGGGGUCCCUGACUCUGCUCUGCCGCUCCUCUGGGUUCAAUUUCGGGAGUUACGACAUGUACUGGAUCCGCCAGAGCCCCGGGAAGGCGCUGGAAUGGGUUGCAGGGAUCUACUACAAUGGUGCCAACACCUACUACGCGCCUUCAGUCAAGGGCCGGUUCACGAUCUCCAGGGACAACGGGCAGAGCUCGGUGACGCUGACCAUGAACAACCUCAAGGACGAGGAUUCCGGCGCCUAUUUCUGUGCCAGAAAUUUCGAUGGUGGUUAUGUUGCUGCUGCUGUUGGUUUGAUUGACGAUGCAUGCUGUGUUUCCACGCCCCCGUUACUGGAUCCCCAGAUGUCCCAAAAUUCCCACCUUCUUUUACCAAAUCCCAGCCCUUAG